UACGUAGGGGGCGAGCGUUGUCCGGAUUUAUUGGGCGUAAAGAGCGUGUAGGCGGCUUGGUAGGUCUGCUGUGAAAACUCGAGGCUCAACCUCGAGACGCCGGCGGAAACCAUCAGGCUAGAGUCCGGAAGAGGAGAGUGGAAUUCCUGGUGUAGCGGUGAAAUGCGCAGAUAUCAGGAAGAACACCCGUGGCUAAGGCGGCUCUCUAGUACGGUACUGACGCUGAGACGCGAAAGCGUGGGGAGCGAACAGG
rnacentral:rRNA from 1 species